CCACCGCGGUUAGACGAGAGGCCCCAGUUGAUAUUAUAAACGGCGUAAAGGGUGGUUAAGGAUGAAUAAAAUAAAGCCAAAUGGCCCCUCGGCCGUCAUACGCUUCUAGGUGUCCGAAGCCCUAAUACGAAAGUAGCUUUAAUAUACCAACCUGACCCCACGAAAGCUGAGAAACAAACUGGGAUUAGAUACCCCACUAUGCUCAGCCGUAAACUUAGACAUCCAACUACAAUUAGAUGUCCGCCAGGGUACUACGAGCAUUAGCUUAAAACCCAAAGGACCUGACGGUGUCUCAGACCCCCCUAGAGGAGCCUGUUCUAGAACCGAUAACCCCCGUUUAACCUCACCACUUCUAGCCACCCCAGCCUAUAUACCGCCGUCGUCAGCUUACCCUGUGAAGGAUAUAAAAGUAAGCAAAAUGGGUACAACCCAGAACGUCAGGUCGAGGUGUAGCGCAUGAAAUGGAAAGAAAUGGGCUACAUUUUCUACCACAGAAUAUUACGAACAUGUACCAUGAAAUAGUGCUUGAAGGAGGAUUUAGUAGUAAAAGGGAAAUAGAGUGUCCCUUUGAACCCGGCUCUGAGACGCGUACACACCGCCCGUCACUCUCCCCUGUCAAAACGCAUUAAAAAUACUUAAUACAAAAGCACUGACAAGGGGAGGCAAGUCGUAACACG
rnacentral:rRNA from 1 species